ACKGCUCAGUAACACGUAGCUAACCUACCCUCAGGACGUGGAUACCCCCGGGAAACUGGGGCUAAUCCGCGAUAGGUGUGGAGGCCUGGAAUGGUUCCACGCCCAAAGGCACAGCAAUCAUGUUUGUUGUGUGCCUGUGGAUGGGGCUGCGGCCGAUCAGGCAGUUGGCGAGGUAACGGCUCACCAAACCUUUGACCGGUACGGGCCAUGAAAGUGGUAGCCCGGAGAUGGGCACUGAGACAGGGGCCCAGGCCCUACGGGGCGCAGCAGGCGCGAAAACUCCACAAUGUACGGAAGUACGAUGGGGUUAUCUCGAGUGCAGUCCGAUAAGGGCUGCUUUUCCAUAGAGUAAUAUCCUGUGGGAAUAAGAGGGGGGCAAGACUGGUGUCAGCCGCCGCGGUAACACCAGCCCCUCGAGUGGUGGGGACUAUUAUUUGGUCUAAAGCGUCCGUAGCUGGCUGUAUCCGUCCCCCGUUAAAUCCAGCGUCCUAAGCGUUGGACCGCGGGUGAUACCAUACAGCUAGAGGGUGGGAUAGGUGAGCGGUAUUUCUGGGGUAGGGGCGAAAUCCUUUGAUCCCAGGAGGACCACCAGUGGCGAAGGCUGCUCACUAGAACACGCCUGACGGUCAGGGACGAAAGCUGGGGCAGCGAACCGGAUUAGAUACCCGGGUAGUCCCAGCUGUAAACGAUGCUAGCUAGGUGUUGGGUCGGCCACGCGCCGCCCCAGUGCCGCAGGGAAGCCGUUAAGCUAGCCACCUGGGGAGUACGGCCGCAAGGCUGAAACUUAAAGGAAUUGGCGGGGGAGCAC
rnacentral:rRNA from 1 species